rnacentral:rRNA from 1 species
AUGCAAGUGAUAGAUACCCAUCACCAUGGAUUAAUUCUCCUUGUAGUGUUAGCAAGUAGUACUGGUGCUGUGGCGUUCGAUCUCACGUACGGUGAAGAGGAAGUUGUAGCCGAGCUCGAGGACGCGCUGCUGGAGCUCGAGCUUGGUCCAGACCAGUUCGAGGUACUGCCUGGACAUGAACCGGGCGGCGGAGGUGAGGUUCACGGUGGUCACCUCGAGGAGGUAGCAGUGCGGGUGCACGGCGACGCAGCGGCGGAAGCCGGCGGGGUCGAGGGCGACGACGAGGAGGUGGUCAAGGAGGUGCGCGGUGUCCUCGCCGUUGUUGAAGCUCUCGAGGUAGAGGUCGAGGAGGGAGCCCGGCCGCGCCCACGCCUCGUUCACCGACGUGAUGAUCACCGUCCGGUCCUCCGUGCACACCUUGGGCAGCAGCUCCGCGAGCCCCGGGAAUCUCUCCACCUGCGCGCGAAACCCCAAAUUAUAGUGGGCUAUUUUAGUUUCAGAUAUGAAAACCUACGCGUAGGAUACAAAAGGCUUGUAGCUAGGUUGUGUGAAGCUAGCCCACUCUGA